GACGAACGCUGGCGGCGUGCUUAACACAUGCAAGUCGAACGGAAAGGCCUGCUUUUCCUUGUGGUUUGCGGGUCCUCGAGCGGCGAACGGGCGCGUAACACGCGAGUGAUUUGCACUCAACUUGGGUAUAAGCCUGGGAAACUGGGCCUAAUUCUCGUUAGGACUGCAGGGUGGUGCCUGUGGUGGCAAACGUGUUUCUAGUGGUUGGGGAUGCGCUGGUGCCUUAUCUGCUUGUUGGUGGGGUAAUGGCCUACCAAGGCGGCGACGGGUAGCCGGCCGGGGAUGGUGGACGGCCGCAUUGGGACUCGGUUACGGCCCAGACGCCUGCGAGAAGCAGGGGAGGGGAAGAUAUGAGAGUGGGCGGGAGCCUGAUGCAGCGACGCAGCGUGGGAGAUGACGGCCUUCGGGAAGUAAGCUCCUUGCGACCGCGAGGAGGCCACCUGGUUGGAAGGGUCGUGACGGUAGUGGUAGAAGAAGCACCGGCUAACUACGUG
rnacentral:rRNA from 1 species